CGUUGCUGUGGAGACGCCUG
rnacentral:misc_RNA from 1 species